rnacentral:rRNA from 1 species
UACGUAGGCAGCGAGCGUUGUUCGGAGUUACUGGGCGUAAAGGGUGUGUAGGCGGUUUUCUAAGUUUGGUGUGAAAUCUCCCGGCUCAACCGGGAGGGUGCGCCGAAAACUGGGAGACUAGAGUGCGGGAUGGGAGAGUAGAAUUCCUGGUGUAGCGGUGAAAUGCGUAGAUAUCAGGAGGAACACCGAUGGCGAAGGCAGAUCUCUGGGCCGUUACUGACGCUGAGGAGCGAAAGCGUGGGGAGCGAACAGG